rnacentral:rRNA from 1 species
GUGUCAGCCGCCGCGGUAAUACAGGGGGUGCAAACGUUGCUCGGAAUUAUUGGGCGUAAAGCGCGCGUAGGCGGCUACUUAAGUCGGAUGUGAAAGCCCCUGGCUCAACUGGGGAAGUGCACCCGAAACUGAGUGGCUUGAGUGCGAAAGAGGGUCGCGGAAUUCCCGGUGUAGAGGUGAAAUUCGUAGAUAUCGGGAGGAACACCGGUGGCGAAGGCGGCGACCUGGGUCGACACUGACGCUGAGGCGCGAAAGCGUGGGGAGCAAACAGGAUUAGAUACCCCUGUAGUCC